rnacentral:rRNA from 1 species
GAUGAACGCUGGCGGCGUGCCUAAUACAUGCAAGUCGAGCGAACGGACGAGAAGCUUGCUUCUCUGAUGUUAGCGGCGGACGGGUGAGUAACACGUGGAUAACCUACCUAUAAGACUGGGAUAACUUCGGGAAACCGGAGCUAAUACCGGAUAAUAUUUUGAACCGCAUGGUUCAAAAGUGAAAGACGGUCUUGCUGUCACUUAUAGAUGGAUCCGCGCUGCAUUAGCUAGUUGGUAAGGUAACGGCUUACCAAGGCAACGAUGCAUAGCCGACCUGAGAGGAUGAUAGGCCACACUGGAACUGAGACACGGUCCUGACUCCUACGGGAGGCAGCAGUAGGGAAUCUGCCACAAUGGGCGAAAGCCUGACGGAGCAACGCCGCGUGAGUGAUGAAGGGCUUCGGAUCGUAAAACUCUGUUAUUAGGGAAGAACAUAUGUGUAAGUAACUAUGCACAUCGUGACGGUACCUAAUCAGAAAGCCACGGCUAACUACGUG